GUGUCAGCAGCCGCGGUAAUACGAAGGGGGCUAGCGUUGCUCGGAUUGACUGGGCGUAAAGGGCGCGUAGGCGGAUAGUACAGUCAGGCGUGAAAUUCCUGGGCUCAACCUGGGGGCUGCGUUUGAUACGUAUUGUCUGGAGUUCGGAAGAGGGUCGUGGAAUUCCCAGUGUAGAGGUGAAAUUCGUAGAUAUUGGGAAGAACACCGGUGGCGAAGGCGGCGACCUGGUCCGAUACUGACGCUGAGGCGCGAAAGCGUGGGGAGCAAACAGGAUUAGAUACCCUGGUAGUCC
rnacentral:rRNA from 1 species